rnacentral:lncRNA from 1 species
GUUCUCUAAGUCUACUGCAUAGCUGAGAGCCUAAGAUCUCUGGGGACUCACUCCACUUUUCUCUUGAGUUGGUUCCACUAUUUCCUGGAACCUCAUACAGCCAUCUCAGCUAGUCAUGACUGACCUAGAUUUAACACAGUAUAUCCUUAAUCAGCUUCCUGAUUGAGAGUGUAUUUUGAGACAUUCCAUGUCUAGAAAGUGUCUUUAUCUCACAUGUAAUUGUGAUAGUCUGGCUGAGUAUAAAAUCUUACUUAGGAUGUUAACUUAAAAUCAAUGUGGUCAAGGAAAGGAGGAAAAAUAUGUCCUCCUAGUAAUUCCCAGUGUAAGUGGAAAUGACCCAGCCCUAGAUUUACUUGGCUUUAGUUUCCAUCACCAUAGAUUUCUCAAUCAAAAGGCAAAUAUAUCUCAUAUGUCGGAAGAUUAAUGUAUGAAUAAUCAGUACCACUGGCAUAUGGCUACUCUCCUAUUUUCCUUACCCCUUUGUCUUCACAAGGAAGCCCAGACUCUGUUUGCCAGUGGCUGGGUCCUGGGGCCGAUAACUUCAAGCUAAACAUUCAAUAUCAGUAUGGUAGGUGAGGAAGAUUUUCUCAGAGUGGCUCAUUAUCUGGAAAGUGUAAGAAUGAGGUGGCAGAAAGAGGUAGAAACAGCAUGAAAAGGCAGAGCCAAGGAGAGAUCGACAAACAAGAAGGAUUGUGCCCAUAUUUCUCUAUUCUCUCUAGCAUUAUGAAUCAUUUCCCCUCAGGAUUUUGGAGAUGUUGCAUCAGUGUUGCUACCGAACAUUCCAAAGCCAUUCUAAUUCUGUUACUUUGUAUGUUCUUUUUUUUCCCUAUACAUAAUUUACUAUUGCAUGUUUUUCUCAGGGUUUCUGAAAUUUCAGAAUAUCCUGAUGUGGAUCUAUUUUGAUUCAUUGUACUGAAGACCAUUUCAGCCCAUCUUACACUUUGAUUCUGGAAAGUCUUCUUUUCCCUGGAGCUUAUAAUUACUUUUAUUUCAUUUGCUUAGCUUUCUAUGUACAUAAGUAGAUAAAAAUUAAUUCAUUCUCAAAAUCUUCCACAGAAAUGCUUUCAAACUCAAUGCAUUAAAAACAUGCUAUAGUUUAUAAACCUUCUUGGAUCUAUCAAGGAAGAUUUAUUUGAUUAUUUUAUCUCCUCCAUUCCAUCUGUUUUCUUAUAAUUCCUAAUAUUUGGAGGUUGGACCUCAUGAACUGAUCCUAUAAUUUUACUAAUUUUCCUCCAGUUUUUCAUCUAUUUGACUUUUUGCUCUAUUUUCAGGGAAAUAUCCUCAACUUUAUCUGCUAACUCUUCUGUUAAGUACUUUAUUUCUGCUCUCAUGCUUUUAAUUUCCAAAAGCUCUUUUUGUGAGCUGGCUGUUCAUUUUUUUAUAGAAUCCUGUCCUUAUUUGACAGGUCCUAUAUAUUUUUUUAUUUUGAGAUUAUUAGUGAUAGUUCUUCUAAGUUUUCUUCUCUCUGCACACUGUAUUUCCUCUAAGUUGCUUUUUUAAAUUUUUGACCUGUGUUUGCUUUGCUUUCGUUUAUGUUACAGGCUUUCCUAAAAUUCCUGGUGAUCCUUGGCUAUCUGCUCGAAUUUAAAAACAAGCACUAAAGAAGGGCACUAAAAAACAGAUUGUCAUAGCAGUAUUAUCCAUAAUAGCCAAAUGAUAGAAGCAAUGCAAAUGUCCAUCAACAGAGGGACAAAUGAAUAAGCAAAUGUGGUAUAUUGAUACAAUGGAAUACUAUUCUGUAAUGAAGAUGGGAAAGAACGGAGUACUGAUACACGCUACAACAUGGGUAAACUGAAAACAUUAUUACGUGAAAUAAGCCAGUCAUAAACCACAUAUUGUGUAUAUUUUAUCCAUAAGAAAUGUUCAGAAUAGGCAAAUCUAUAAAAAUACAAAGUAGAUUUGUAGUUGCUGAGGGCUGGGAAAAGGGUUUGGGGAGAGAAAUGACUGCUAAUGGGAGUAUGGGAUGUUCUUUUGGGGCUGAUAAAAUGUUCCAAAAUUCAUUGUGUGAUAACUACACAUCUGUAAAUAUACUAAAAACCACUGAAUUGUAUCCAAUAAAGUACUAAAUUGUAUGAUAUAUGAAUUAUACCUCAAUAAUGCUCAUUACCCUCCCCCUACCCCAUUAGGUACCGGGCUGCACAGCAGGGGGUAAGUGACCAUUACCGCCUGAGUUCUGCCUCCUGUCAGAUCAGCCAAGGCUGAUUCUCAUGGGAGGGUGAACCCUACUGUGAACUGCACAAUUGAGGGAUCUAGGUUGUGCGCUCCUUAUGACAAUCUAAUCCCCCUAAAUCCCACUAUCAUCUGUGGAAAAAUUGUCUUCCACAAAACCGGUCUCUGGUGCCAAAAAGGUUGGGAACUACUGCUCUAGAAAGUAAAUCUCCAAGUCUCCUGGUAGAGCAAUAAGGAGUAUAUUUGCCUGGCCACAUGGAGUUGGAAAAUAUAUUGAGACUUAACUGCUUCUUAUAGCUACAAAUAUCCCUGUUUCAGCCUCACCUC